CUAACUCUGUGCCGCAGCCGCGGUAAUACAGAGGGUGCGAGCGUUAUCGGAUUUACUGGGCGUAAAGCGUGCGUAGGCGGCUGAUUAAGUCCGAUGUGAAAUCCCUGAGCUUAACUUAGGAAUUGCAUUCGAUACUGGUCAGCUAGAGUAU
rnacentral:rRNA from 1 species